UGUUGCCAGCAGCCGCGGUAAUACGGUGGCUCGAGUGGUGGCCGCUAUAUUGGGUCUAAAGGGUCGUACGGCUGAUAGUUACCUGGGAAAUCCGGUGGCCUAACCAUCGGCGGNCAGGUAAUACUAUCAGCUCGGGACUAGGAGAGACCAGAGGUACUCAUGAGGUAGGAGUGAAAUCCUGUAAUCUUAUGAGGACCACCAGUGGUGAAGACGUCUGGUUAGAAUAGGUCCGACGGUGAGGGACGAAGGCUGGGGGCGCAAACCGGAUUAGAUACCCGGGUAGUCCCAGCAGUAAACGAUGCCAGCUAUGUGUUGCUGGAACCAUGGGUUCCAGCAGUGCCGAACGGGAAGCCGUGAAGCUGGCCACCUGGGAAGUACGGUCGCAAGGCUGAAACUUAAAGGAAUUGGCGGGGGAGUACCACAACCGGUGGAGCCUGCGGUUUAAUUGGAUACAACGCCGGGAAUCUUACCGGAGGGGACAGCAGUAUGAAGUGCCAGGCUAAAGACCUUGCCAGAUCAGCUGAGAGGAGGUGCAUGGCCGUCGCCAGUUCGUACCGU
rnacentral:rRNA from 1 species